AACGGGAAGAGCCCAAACCAACAAGCUUGCUUGUUGGGGUUGUAGGACACUCUAUACGGAGUUACAAAGGACGACAUUAGACGAAUCAUCUGGAAAGAUGAAUCAAAGAAGGUAAUAAUCCUGUAGUCGAAAAUGUUGUCUCUCUUGAGUGGAUCCUGAGUACGACGGAGCACGUGAAAUUCCGUCGGAAUCUGGGAGGACCAUCUCCUAAGGCUAAAUACUCUCUAGUGACCGAUAGUGAACCAGUACCGUGAGGGAAAGGUGAAAAGCACCCCGGAAGGGGAGUGAAAUAGAACCUGAAACCGUGUGCUUACAAGUAGUCAGAGCCCGUUAAUGGGUGAUGGCGUGCCUUUUGUAGAAUGAACCGGCGAGUUACGAUUUGAUGCAAGGUUAAGCAGUAAAUGUGGAGCCGUAGCGAAAGCGAGUCUGAAUAGGGCGUUUAGUAUUUGGUCGUAGACCCGAAACCAGGUGAUCUACCCUUGGUCAGGUUGAAGUUCAGGUAACACUGAAUGGAGGACCGAACCGACUUACGUUGAAAAGUGAGCGGAUGAACUGAGGGUAGCGGAGAAAUUCCAAUCGAACCUGGAGAUAGCUGGUUCUCUCCGAAAUAGCUUUAGGGCUAGCCUCAAGUGAUGAUUAUUGGAGGUAGAGCACUGUUUGGACGAGGGGCCCCUCUCGGGUUACCGAAUUCAGACAAACUCCGAAUGCCAAUUAAUUUAACUUGGGAGUCAGAACAUGGGUGAUAAGGUCCGUGUUCGAAAGGGAAACAGCCCAGACCACCAGCUAAGGUCCCAAAAUAUAUGUUAAGUGGAAAAGGAUGUGGCGUUGCCCAGACAACUAGGAUGUUGGCUUAGAAGCAGCCAUCAUUUAAAGAGUGCGUAAUAGCUCACUAGUCGAGUGACACUGCGCCGAAAAUGUACCGGGGCUAAACAUAUUACCGAAGCUGUGGAUUGUCCUUUGGACAAUGGUAGGAGAGCGUUCUAAGGGCGUUGAAGCAUGAUCGUAAGGACAUGUGGAGCGCUUAGAAGUGAGAAUGCCGGUGUGAGUAGCGAAAGACGGGUGAGAAUCCCGUCCACCGAUUGACUAAGGUUUCCAGAGGAAGGCUCGUCCGCUCUGGGUUAGUCGGGUCCUAAGCUGAGGCCGACAGGCGUAGGCGAUGGAUAACAGGUUGAUAUU
rnacentral:rRNA from 1 species